rnacentral:lncRNA from 1 species
AUCAUUAUAUACCAAUAUAUAAUGGAGAUAGGUAUGAGGAAACAAAAUGAUAAUGUGCUGCAGCAUUGCCCUGAUAUCACCUCUCGGUUUGUGCAGUGUGUGGCUGUGACGCAGGAUCCCAGGCAGGACCAUAGUCCCGGAGCUCUUCUGUGGCUUGUGCAGGCAGGCCUCCUUCCUCAGGGCAUGGUGCCCUGCGGGGGCACCUCAAGACAGCUGUCAAGGAGCAGAUGUGUGUGGAUGCACCUUUUCCUGCUCUUGGGAGAGCUGAGGGUGGUCGGGGCGGCAGUAUCACUGCUGCGUCAGUGUGACUGAGCGUGGCACAAGGCAGCACCACUGCAGAGGUGGGGGCUUGAUCGACAGCCAGCCUGGUGGACUGCUGAUGUGUCAGACCAGGCCCCAGCUUCCCAGCAAGGGAUCCCUUCCUCCCUUCGCCCGGGACACCUUUCAGGUGGCAAAACAGCUAAGACAAUCCGCACCUCUCACCAUGGGCUCCAGCAUGCCAGUGUAGAGCUGGGGGCAAAUGAACGUGGCCUGCUGGGAACAUGAGUGCUGUGCUGAGCUUGCUUCUGUCUGUCACCAGCUGCACCCUGCUCUGGGGCAUGCCAUUUCCUCCACAGAAUGUGACACUAGUGGCAAAAAACUUCCACACUUGCCUGAUGUGGGAGCCAGACCCUCACUCGCCCAGCAGUGCCAGGUACCAGGUCGAGUGGAAGAGUAGACGAACUUCUCCCUGGACCAAGGCAGAUACCUGUUGGGGGAACAGCAGCAGCUCGUCCUGGACUUGUGAGCUAUAUUUUGAAGAUAUCCAUGAUAUCUACUGGGCAAGAGUGAGAGCGGUGGAUGGAGACAAACUGUCCAAGUGGGUCUCUUCUAGUGAACUGCAGCCAUACAGAGACACAGUUGUCGGUCCUCCCGAACUGUCCUGGCUGCUCCAGGGUCACAUCCUUAGCAUAAAAAUCAUCAUGCCACUCACUCCAUACCAAAGUAAAAAUGGCUCUUACAAGCCCAUCAACAAAGUGCUGCGGAAACUGUGGUACCGGCUGAACCUUUAUGAAAAGGAUGUAUUCAUCCAGCAAGUGCCCUGUGAACAGAGGGGCAAGGAAGCCUCUUGCAUGUUCAGGUACUUGAAACCAAGCACCCAAUACUGUGUCCGGACUGUGACGGUGGGCAUGCCCAGGGAGCAGAGCAGGGAGGCUGCACAGUGCAUCACAACAUCAGCCACCCCUGGAGACUUUCCCUGGGUCCUCCUCGCCGUACUGAGUGCCGUCUUGCUGGUGCUGUUUGUGGCCGGGCUCUGCUUCCUCAGGCUGUAUGUGUUCCUGAGACCCUCAGAGACGCGCAUCCCGAACUCGCUUGCUAUUUUAAAUGAAGAGCUGACUCUGAACAUCAGGGUGCCCACCCUUGAACUUGAGGGGGACUCAUCCACUUUGAUCUCACUGGUUGUGCUUCCCUCCCAUGGACCAUCUGCAGCUGAGCAGAAAAAGCCCCAAGUCCAGCUGUUCUUUGGAGAAAGCUUUUCCCAGGAGAUGGCUGGCUACUGUGCCAAUGGAUUUAGGCCAGACUGGCCCGAAAGCGAGGCCCUGUCCUUUGCCCCCAGCCAGCUGGAGCRUGUCUUGGACUCUGGGGCCUCCUCACCCCUGGAGGGGCUGGAGGAGGGCAGGGAAGGGGAUAAUGUGUCGGCUUUGCCAGCCCAGCUGCCCAGUGGCUCAUGGGCAUGUCUGGAGCAGCCUGUGCUGGUGGAACUGAAUGACGACAGUUACAGGGGUGACGAAGACUACCAGACAUCUGAGAUGUGGCUUUCCUUGCACCUCCAGCUUUAUUCUAAAUGCCAAUGCCCACUCUUGGGAACAGGCAGCAGCAUCUCUCUGACUCCACAAGGCACAAGUUUCAGCCAAGAGGACCUAAAGGAGAGCCUUGGCAUGACAGAACCCUGCUGCCAGUCCUGGGUACCACUCAGCUCUGUGAAGCUGCCAGCUGACGAGGAGGACAGAGACCAGCUCUUCCCUGCUCUCUGUCACCUGCAUGGCCAUGGGGCCAAGCCAGAGUUAGGUGACAGAGACACACAGCAGAGUGACUUGGACCAGGCAACACUGGGCUGGCAAGGUGUCCCUCUCCCCAGUUCCUGUGAAGUGCCCUAUUCACCCCUCGACAUCCUGCAGGCAACCACAUCCUCCGGCUAUGAGAUACAUCCCCUGGUCACCAAUGAGCCCUAGGGUAAAGUAGGAGUGUAACAAGAGAGCAGGGCUCUCCCGGAUGCACGCCUGAUGCACGCCUGCCGUCAGGAGCCAGAUUGCAGCAUUAAUGAAUAGCUCCAGUGGAGCAAGAAGCGUUACCCAAAGCUGACCCAACUGUGAUGGACUGCCUGCUCAGACAUGUGUGUGCCUCUUUGGGCCUGGGGCUGGGCCAAGAUUCCCAGGCAGACAGGCACAAGCAUGCUCUGGGACCGACUUCCAUAGAAAGACAGUGAG